UCCCUGGUAACUCAGAGGUUAAAGUGUCUGCCUGGAAUGCGGGAGACCCAGGUUCAAUCCCUGGGUUGGGAA
rfam:Ovis aries breed Texel chromosome 3, whole genome shotgun sequence.